rfam:Myotis davidii contig73023, whole genome shotgun sequence.
AUUUUUGUGCAGUGGCAGUAUCGUGGCCAAUGAGGUUUAUCCGAGGUGUGGUUAUUGCUAAUUGAAAAAAAAAUUAUAUAUAGC